rnacentral:rRNA from 1 species
AACGAACGCUGGCGGCAUGCCUAACACAUGCAAGUCGAACGAGAUCUUCGGGUCUAGUGGCGCACGGGUGCGUAACGCGUGGGAAUCUGCCCUUUGGUUCGGAAUAACAGUUGGAAACGACUGCUAAUACCGGAUGAUGACGAAAGUCCAAAGAUUUAUCGCCAGAGGAUGAGCCCGCGUAGGAUUAGCUAGUUGGUGUGGUAAAGGCGCACCAAGGCGACGAUCCUUAGCUGGUCUGAGAGGAUGAUCAGCCACACUGGGACUGAGACACGGCCCAGACUCCUACGGGAGGCAGCAGUGGGGAAUAUUGGACAAUGGGCGAAAGCCUGAUCCAGCAAUGCCGCGUGAGUGAUGAAGGCCUUAGGGCUGUAAAGCUCUUUUACCCGGGAAGAUAAUGACAGUACCGGGAGAAUAAGCUCCGGCUAACUCCGUGCCAGCAGCCGCGGUAA